AUACGUAGGUGGCAAGCGUUGUCCGGAUUUAUUGGGCGUAAAGCGAGCGCAGGCGGUUUCUUAAGUCUGAUGUGAAAGCCCCCGGCUCAACCGGGGAGGGUCAUUGGAAACUGGGAGACUUGAGUGCAGAAGAGGAGAGUGGAAUUCCAUGUGUAGCGGUGAAAUGCGUAGAUAUAUGGAGGAACACCAGUGGCGAAGGCGACUCUCUGGUCUGUAACUGACGCUGAGGCUCGAAAGCGUGGGGAGCAAACAGGAUUAGAUACCCUGGUUGUCCACGCCGUAAACGAUGAGUGCUAAGUGUUGGAGGGUUUCCGCCCUUCAGUGCUGCAGCUAACGCAUUAAGCACUCCGCCUGGGGAGUACGACCGCAAGGUUGAAACUCAAAUGAAUUGACGGGG
rnacentral:rRNA from 1 species